rnacentral:tRNA from 1 species
CAGACUAUGCUUAAAGUAGCAUCUAUUAUUUACAUUAAUAGAUAAUUUGUGCAAUUCAAAUUAGUUUGA